UACGAAGGGGGCUAGCGUUGCUCGGAAUUACUGGGCGUAAAGCGCACGUAGACGGCUUUCUAAGUCGGGGGUGAAAUCCUGGAGCUCAACUCCAGAACUGCCUUCGAUACUGGAAAGCUCGAGUCCGGGAGAGGUGAGUGGAACUGCGAGUGUAGAGGUGAAAUUCGUAGAUAUUCGCAAGAACACCAGUGGCGAAGGCGGCUCACUGGCCCGGUACUGACGCUGAGGUGCGAAAGCGUGGGGAGCAAACAGG
rnacentral:rRNA from 1 species